AAUAAAAUAGAGAAUGUUAUCACCAGGUUAUCCAUGUAUUUGAUGAACUUUUUUCUGUGGCUCCUUCAAAAGACCAUGUCUGCUUGCUAAAUUUUGUGGAUAAGGAAUAUACUGUUAAUAAUUAGUAUGAAUUAUAACCUGAAUUGUUUACUUGCUUUCAGAUAUUCUAAGGACAUUAAAAUUGUAUAUGAAGUUAUUCUUUGACCUACCACUGUAAUGAGCUCUCAUUUUUCCUAGCAUGUAGUACCUGCCGUGAUUCUCAGAUACUACACCAGACUUCUAACACUUAGACAUUUAUUCCUCAUAGCUAAAUCUGAGGAAGGACAGUGAACAUACUGACUGAAAAAAUCAGAAUUUUAAAUCCCUUUAUGAAGAUAAAGUAGUAGAUAAAUGUCCCUUCCCAUCCUCAUUCCCUUUAAAAUAAAAACAAAAAACAAAUAAAUUGAGGAAGAAAGAAGCUGCCACAUCUUACUAGAGUGCGAAAAAGGGAAUUUCAGAGUACAGACAGGCAUAAGAUUUAGGAUUUUAGUCAUUUGUUUCAUAAAUCUGUAACCAAGAACCAUCUCUUUAUUAGGUGUCAGUAUUUUCUGUUACCAUCAUCAUAACUGGAAAUUGGUUUCCUUUCACAGUUUUUAAAACUACUUCACAAGAGUUUCUGUAAGUUUAGGCUACACAUACUUACAAAUAUUAAAUACAGAUUGUCAAGAGUCCUCCUCUUGCCAACAUGAGGAUGGCAUGGAGGAUAUAAUAGCUGCCUUUAUUCAUGUGAAAGGUCGUCAAAUAAGAAUGGCUCAGUAUGGCAGACCAAGAAGGGUUGGUUAGAAACUACUUUUGUUUAUGAGUCUGAUUCUACCUUGGGUUUUACUUACUGUUACUUGUAAAAGUAACAGUAAAUGGAGUUAUAAGAAAUAUCCUACCUAUAUUUUGUAAUAGUGACAUUUGGUUUAUACUUUUGGAAACAAAGCAGACACCGUUUCCAGAUGUUGAAGGGCGUGUUCAGUGCCUGCCUCAGUUCUCUGUACAAGGAGAACAGUCAUCUGACAUACUCAGGGUAGACCAGUGGCUUUCAAUUGUGGGUAGUUUUGUUUCCCAGGGGAUGUUUGGCAGUGUCUGGAGAUGCUGAUUCUCAUACCCUGUGGUGGAGUGGGGUGCUGCUGACUUAGCAAGUAGAGGCCAGGAUUGCUGCAUAAACAUCUUAGAGUAUAUAGGAUAGCCCUACCCAACAAAGAAUUAUCUAGUCCAAAAUGUCACUAGUGCUGAGGAGGGGAAUCUAUGUUGUAGAAGAAAAUCAGUUAAGCUUAUUUAUUAGGAAAUUUGCAGGGAAGAUUCAGUAUGCAAAUUAAACAUCUUAGAAUUCUCCAAAUUUAGAAUUUUUUAGCUGUUACAGUGAGCAAUGGGUUCUGUGUGUUUAGAAAGCUUUUAACCACAGACAAACGAGUUGAAGUGUGCUUUGUCUCCCAUUUUUAGGGAAAUUCUCGUGUAUUACAUCUGAUUUUCCCUUCUGUUGGUAAUUCAAACUACCAACUUCCUUGUAAGCACCUGGAGAUAUUCCAAUUCUGAGCCUUUGUCCAUGAAAUACUAAAUUUUGCUGCCCUAUUUCUGCAGUCUCAAUGUACAAUUUUUAAAUUCUUGCAGGUUUCUUUUCUGUAACUGUAUAUAUGUGAGGUAUUGACAGCUGUCAUCUUCCAUGCCAUCCCUUAAUAAUCAAUAGGAAGUCAGUCCACAGUUUAUAUUUAGAGAGAGAAUGAAAGCCUUUCAGACAAAGGAAAGCAGAUGGACCUUUCAGCUCAUCACAGGCUCUUGAGAGUCUGCAGGCAAGAUUUUUCUUGAAGGUCAGAAAGGGAAACUGGAGAGUCCAGGUAAAAGUAAUUGUACUUAGAGAACCUCAAUAAAAAGGUACAAAUGAAAGAGGAAAAUUUGUAUUUUUUCCACAUAAAAAAAUCUCCCAGAUCUUCUUCACAGCAUUACUGGGAUUGCUUAAGGAGACAUGGACUGGGAGUAUAUCAGGGCAUUUCCCCACCAGGCACCUGGGACUAGGGUUUGUCGAUAAACAAGACCACUGUCAUUGACUGAAUCUUUCAUCUCCUUUAUGUCACUAUUGUCUUAUCUUCACUCCGAGAGACCCCCUCCUUCUUGACUAAGAAAUACCCAAAUCUCAAAUGAUUCAGACUUUUGUUCAAUUUUUUUUUUUUUGGCAGAUUCAACCCUAACAGGAUUUCCCUCAUGAUGGUUGAUGGCUUCUCAAGGGCUGGUUAAUCCCCACUCAUUCCUCAAGGUUAUGGGUCUUAUUCCUAAGAAUCAGUGACUUCAGCCUCCCUGUCUUCCUUCAUCCUAAUCCUGGCAGCCAUUCCACGCACCCCGUGGAAGUGUCGGCACUGUCACCUGGAAUUCUCCUUGGCCUUGGUGGCCUCAUCCUCAGUAGCUUGUUCAGUAACAGCCCCCAGUGGGGUCGUGCUUCCCUGUGACCACAGGCAUCCUCUCCUUUGCUGCCACUGGCCACUGUCAUGUGACUUGCUCAAUCAGUAGAACAGUAGCAGAUAUGGCACCACGGAAAUUCAAAAGUGUUCAUACAUUGUGGUUUGAAUACAUUUUUAAACACUGCAGCUGCCAUGUGAAGAAGGCAGAGCCACCAGGCUACAUGAUGAAAGACACACAGCGAGGUCAUUCCUGUCACCCAUCCAAUAGCGUGUCCACUGUCAGACACGUAAACGGGGCCAUUCUUGGUUAUGCAGCAGCCUGCUAACGUGUCCUGAAAUGCCUAAGUGGCAACUGGGUGUUAGAUUUGUUAGGAAACAUUUAUACCAAACUUUCAGGCCAUAGUGACAAUGGUUUAUAAGCUGGGAUCUAUCCACUGGUUUCUUUCAGACUCACUUUCUUUUCAGAAUCUUGUUUCUCUAAGAGUAUGUGUCCUUUUUAGUAGAAUAGGGCCCCUGCCCCCUCCACUGAAGGCACACAGCCCAGGGCAACUGCAUCACCUUGGCCCUUUGUGAAGCUGGAUUGGGUAAAGCACGGCUCCCAGGCGGGAGUUUAUACUAUAACUGCAGAUGAGGCAAGUUACUUAUUUCCUCAUAUUUAAAGCAGUGAUCUCUAAGGUGUCUUCCAGAUUUAAAUUCAAAUUCUCUGAGUAUUCUGCCAAUCUUAGGUAGCAGAUGAUGUGACUGGAGACACCUGGAGUGUGUCCAACAUCUUUUUAAAUCCCCCGAAAACAGAAGAGCAGUGGCCUCAUUUAACAGCUGUAGGAACAAGGUAUAAUUAGAAAAAGCAUUUCAUUGGCAGUCAGGAUAUUUUUGGCUGGGUGCUUAGGUUAUAGGGAGUCAUGACACUUGGUGUGAGGGUGUGUGUGAGCCGUGCACCGGGGACAUGGUUUUCUCCUCUCUUUUUAUCCUGGUGGCCUUUCUCUGGUUGGGUAAACUAAGAAAAACAAAACAAACCUGUUUCACAUAUUUAUAACCUCCUCCUUAACUUGUUUUGAUGGUAAUGUUCACUGUGAGUAAACACUGUGAUAUUUGUGCAUUUGUAUAAACACAAUGCUUCAAUUUAUCUGACACGAGGUCCAGUUCAUGGCAUCUUUGAAAAAUGAAUCAUAGAAAGAAACUUUGGAGGGUAUUCAGUCCAACUGAGUUUUACAAGUGAGGAACUUGAGCUUCAGAGUGAUACUAUAUUCGAGAUAUCUAGCUAGUGACCAAGACAACUACAACUUCGGACAACUAGUCCAAGUCAGUAUUUGUCCUAUUUGGUUUGUUAACAAUAACAGCACAUGUAAUUACUUUAAAAAAGUAAAAAGCGAUGUUUAAAACAUUGCUGAGAAGGCAAAUAUAUGGCUUGCAGACAGGGAAGUGAUUUUCAACACGUACUCUAAGCAGAUGCUAACAGGUAACUGUGCUGCACAGCCACUGUUCUCAGCUGCUGGAGUCAGCCACACCCGCCAAAGUUUCUGACCCUUUGCUAAUAGCAAGUACUCCCCGAAUCAUGAAACAUGACUCCCCUGCCCUUGAGACACUAGCGGCUCACAAAUAAGGCAUGACAAAAAAUUAAUUUGGUAUAUACUAAUCCUUUGUGAUGUACAUUUAAAUAGUUCUGGAGCAGCAGUAAAAUCUGCACCUACAGUCUCUUUAAUAGUAUCAGCUGUUGCUUUUUCUUGGUCUGUAUUUUUCUGUUUUCAACACACAAAUAGUAUACGUUUAGAAUAUGUAAAGAUAGGCAGGAAGAGCACGUGCUCUCCCAAAUUGGAGUUGCCAACAUGGGAAGUUGUGGGUGUUAAAAUUCAACAUAUCUUUGUUAUUGAUAUAUAUCAAUAUGUGUGUCACACACACACACAAAUAUAUUUGUUCUGUCAUCACAGGUGACAGUGACGUGACAGUGAGCCUCUGGGGCAUCAGGUUUAUUUAGUCUAAAAGAACACUGUUUAAAAACAUGAAGGCUUUUUUCCCCUCCAGUAUUGUUAUUACAGUUCAGUGAUUUUGCUGUUUUAUAUUCAACCUCAGUUCUGGUUGAAAAAAGACAAUUUGUUCCUCUUCAAAUAUUUUUGAAGGUUUCAAGAUGGAUUUAAAAUAUUUUAUCUUUUAAAUUAUGCACAUUUCUCAAAAAUUUUUAAAGUAAAUUUGUAAUCACUCACAGUCCCAGUGCUAAAGGAAGAGUAAAAUGAUAACUUAUGUGGACGACCACAUUGCUCAUGACAGUGUGCUCUGGGAAGGAGGCUCUUCAGUACGUGGUGGACAUGGGUACAGAUGACGCUCUUUACAAAAGUCACUGUGUUUUCCAUUUGAAGUGAUCCGAGUUAGGAGCUGCCCCACAGGCAGCUGGCUCUGCAGGGAUAUUCACGGGCACUGCUUUUAUGUAAAAAUCUUGCUUCCUAACUCAAAAGCUUGGAAAACCAAAGGUAAAAGUUACCUCAUUUUCACUUGCUUUUAAGAAACCGAAAAUAAUUUUUAAAGUGUAUAUCAGUCAGCUGACCCUUGACUAUGUAUAUAAUACACUAGAAAGCUGACCUUUGGUUAUCCUUGAUUAUCACUUGAGCUUCCUUAUUGGAAAAUCAGACUGAGGGACCUGAGUGACAGUCCACUGGAAGGAUGUGGUCUGAAAUCCUGCAUCCACCCGGACUGAGAAAAGAAAACACUAUCCUGAAGAAAAGUUCCAUAAGGAAAAUACAAGGUGCAAGAGCCUGCGUACACACUCCAUCAUUCCUUCUGCAGCACCGACUGGGCCACCUGCAGGUCCCAGACACAGUGCUGAGCACCCGAAUGUGCUGCUGAGCAAGAGAACAUGGCUCAGAUUGCUCUGAGCUCACAGUCAAGUGGUGAGGGGAACAGACAAAAAAAAUGAGCAAUUACAAUAAAGUGUGAGCGAAUCGCCGGUACGGCCAAGCUUCUCAACACGGUUGCACAGCAGAACCACCCACAGUGCUUUUCUUCCCGUUGUGAAGCGGACAGCGGGGCCCGCACCUCCGUCACCACUCCCACCGCCACCCUGACACCACACAGACCACAGUCCCCGCGCCGCAAGUCCUCGCCGUCCCUCACCGCCCAGUCCCGCGGAGAGCACGGCGGCUGCCCGCUGCUGCCCCCCUGAGGACAAGCUUGAGAAUGGGCGUCCUUCCUUGGCUUUUAUGAAUCCACGUAAAGCAAUACAGAAGUAAUACACCCUUCCCUUUUAAAAUUCUUUUCUUCCUUCUUCUCCUCACUUCUUCCUAUCUUUCUCUGUUCAUUUUCUUCUUCUUUGAGGGAGAGGCACAGAGGAUUUUUAUAACACCGAAAACUUACAAGUGUUAUCAUUCUAACAGUUUAACCUUUCAAAUUCACCAGGAGGUUAUUAAUUUAUUUUUUCUGGGGUGGAGGCGGGUUAGGGAAUAUUCUCACUGUUUUACUAUAUGUGAUUUAGUCUGUAUGCUAAAUCUGGUAGAUCCUGGUGAGAAACCGCUGGAUAUCUUCAAAAGUGAAGAUAUACUAUUUUUGCUUCUGUUUUAAGUGACAUCCAUUUUAAGGGUUAGAAUAUGCCUUAAUGAUUUUUAAACAUCUUUCACACAGACUUGACACCACCCUUCACAAUAAAAACACAAUCAAAUGUA